CUACAGGACCGUGAGUUCCUCUACUCCCUGCAGCCUGCCCCCUAGUACCCAGUUCUGGUCCUGUCUUUGCUCCGGGCAGUUCGUUUUUUCCUAGCUCUGGAUACCUUGGAUCGUGCUUUACUCAAUUCUUCUGUGUGCGAAGGGGGGAAAGGAGUUGCUUAGUGUUGAUGCCUCCGUGAGUGUGUCUUUCCCCCUGUACUGGACCCGUGCGGGUCAGCUCCCUAGUCAAUUUCACUGGAUAUUGAAUCCCUGACUGGGCAAUGGAAAUUGCACACACUGGCGACAUGCUGAGAGGUUCCCUUUCGGAGGGCCCUCUCUCAGAUGCCUCUAGGGAUACCCCAUUAGUUCCCUCGGGAGCUGGGGGGGGGCGAUGGAUCUGUCGCUCCGGCCACCUCGAUCCUGUACGCGGGAGAGGGUAGUGAGCCGAUGAAAGCCCUGCCGCCUCCUAUUAAGGCACUUAAAAAAUCAAAGCAUUUGGAAGGAGAAAAGCGAAAGAAGAAGAAGAAGGUGAAAAAAGUCGCCUCACUCAAAGCUCCGUUGAGCGAACGGCUACAGCUGCGUCAGCCACCCUGUACCAGGCAUGAUCUUCUGAGUCAGACCAAGAAAUAGUUGCCUGUUUUCUCCCGCCAAUAGCUCUGAAAAAUUCAAUUAUUUCAAAGAAUAUCAACCAAUCUAAGCAUGCUCUUCUCAGAUCCAUCGUCUACGAACAAUGCACAUUGCCACCUUUCCACAAGAGGAACAGUUAAUUUAAGCUGAAUGUUGCAAAGUAAACUAUUUCACUCCUAAUCUCCUCCCUUCACACUAUCUGGGUUUACCUUGUUCUAGGCUUUGUUCAGAGGCACUGGCUACAAGAAUGCAGAGCUGCAUCCAAAGGGGUAUUUCUGUUCUGUUUGGAAUAAAUGAUACUUUAUUAUUUGCUCUGAGUUGCGAGGAGAAGCUAGAAUACAGGAAACCAUGGAAGAAUAAAAGGUUUUCAAGGGCUUUGAUUAAAUAAAGCUUAUUUUAAAUUUC